GUUCGAUUCUGGCUCAGAUUGAACGCUGGCGGGAUGCUUUACACAUGCAAGUCGAACGGCAGCACGGACUUCGGUCUGGUGGCGAGUGGCGAACGGGUAGGUAAUGUAUCGGAACGUGCCUAGUAGCGGGGGAUAACUACGCAGCGUAGCUAAUACCGCAUACGCCCUUCGGGGAAAGCGGGGGACCUUCGGGCCUCGCACUAUUAGAGCGGCCGAUAUCGGAUUAGCUAGUUGGUGGGGUAACGGCUCACCAAGGCGACGAUCCGUAGCUGGUUUGAGAGGACGACCAGCCACACUGGGACUGAGACACGGCCCAGACCCCUACGGGAGGCAGCAGUGGGGAAUUUUGGACAAUGGGGGAAACCCUGAUCCAGCCAUCCCGCGUGUGCGAUGAAGGCCUUCGGGUUGUAAAGCACUUUUUGGCAGGAAAGAAACGGCACGGGAUAAUACCCCGAUGCAACUGACGGUACCUGCAGAAUAGCGCAGCUAACUACGUACCAGCAGCAGCCGCGCCGUAUCGUCGGGUGCAAAGCGUUAAUCGGAAUUACUGGGUAAAGCGUGCGCAGGCGGUUCGGAAAGAAAGAUGUGAAAUCCCAGAGCUUAACUUUGGAACUGCAUUUUUAACUACCGAGCUAGAGAGUGUGUCAGAGGAGUGGAAAUUCGCGUGUGGCAGUGAAAUGCGUAGAUAUGCGGAGGAAUUUUUCGAUGGCGAAACAGCCUCCUGGAGAUAUUGCAAACGCUCAUGCACGAAAGCGUGGGAGCAGCAGGAUUAGAUACCCUGGUAGUCCCGCGCCUAAACGAUGUCAACUAGCUGUUGAGGCCUUCGGGCCUUGGUAGGCGCAGCCCCAACGUGAAGUUGACCGCCUGGGAAGUACGGUCGCAAGAUUAAAACUCAAAGGGUGGCGAGGCCCGCACAAGCGGUGGAUGAUGUGGAUUAAUUCAUUACAACCUUUCGAAACACCCUGCCAUAAACCCGUCAUCUGAAUCCCGAAGAGAUUUGGGAGUGCUCGCAAGAGAACCGGAACACAGUGCUGCAUGGCUGUCGUCAGCUCGUGUCGUGAGAUGUUGGGUUAAGUCCCGCAACGAGCGCAACCCUUGUCAUUAGUUGCUACGAGAAAGGGCAUCUAAUGCAAGGACUGCCGGUGACAAACCGGAGGAAGGUGGGGAUGACGUCAAGUCCUCAUGGCCCUUAUGGGUAGGGCUUCACACGUCAUGCAAUGGUCGAGACGAGGGUCGCCAACCCCGCGAGGGCCAAUCCCAGAAACCCGAUCAAUGAGCGGAUCGCAGUCUGCAACUCGACUGCGUGAAGUCGGAAUCGCUAGUAAUCGCGGAUCAGCAUGUCAGUGGGCCACGUUCCCGGGUCUUGUACACACCGCCCGUCACACCAUGGGAGUGGGUUUUACCAGAAGUAGUUAGCCUAACCGUAAGGAGGGCGAUUACCACGGUAGGAUUCAUGACUGAGGUGAAGUCGUAACAAGGUAA
rnacentral:rRNA from 1 species